UUGACCUCAAAUCAGGUAGGACUACCCGCUGAACUUAAGCAUAUCAAUAAGCGGAGGAAAAGAAACUAACGAGGAUUCCCCUA
rnacentral:rRNA from 1 species